UAUGGCUCAGAACGAACGCUGGCGGCGCGUUUAAGCAUGCAAGUCGAGCGGCAACGGGCCUUCGGGCCCCUAGAGCGGCGGACGGGUGAGUAACACGUGGACAAUCUGCCCCCCGGCCCGGGAUAGCCCCAGGGAAACCUGGAUUAAUACCGGAUGAGACGGGACCCGCGAUGGCGGGAUCCGGGAAAGGCGCUGCGGCGCCGCCGGGGGAUGAGUCUGCGUCCCAUUAGCUAGACGGCGGGGUAACGGCCCACCGUGGCGACGAUGGGUAGCCGGCCUGAGAGGGUGGACGGCCACAUUGGAACUGAGACACGGUCCAGACUCCUACGGGAGGCAGCAGCUAAGAAUCUUCCGCAAUGGGCGAAAGCCUGACGGAGCCGACGCCGCGUGAACGAAGAAGGCCGUGAGGUUGUAAAGUUCUUUUCGGGAGGGGGAACAACCGUGGCAGGGAAUGGCCGCGGGAUGACGUGAAUCCCGGAAUAAGCCCCGGCUAACUACGUGCCAGCCGCUGC
rnacentral:rRNA from 1 species